rnacentral:rRNA from 1 species
CCUCGUCUCCCUCCCUCCACCCAGACGGCGGAGGACCACCGCCCGCCCAACCCCGAGCCGCCGCGCCGCCCCUUCGAUCGGACCGCCGCCUGCCUUCCUCCCUUUAUGAUGGGUUCUUCAUCUUGGUCUACCCCCCCACCGGCCUUUGGCUCAGUCACGGGCUCUUCAUCAUUGUUCUCCACGCCGACCUCUGGUGCCGCCAUGGGCUCUUCUCCAUCCUUGUUCUGUUUCACGCCGGCAUCUGGUGCAGCCACGGGCUCUUCUCCAUACUCGUUUGGUAUAAUGCCGGCCUCUGGUGCAGCCAUGGGCCCUUCUUCAUCCUCGUUUGGUUCCACGCUGGUAGCCACGGGCUUUUUUCCAUCCUCUGGUUUCACACCAUACGCUGGUCCAGCCAUGGGAUCCUCGUUUGGUUCCAUGCCGGUAGCCACUGGCCUUUUUCCAUCCUCGUCUGGUUUCACGCCUUCCUCUGGUGCAGCCACGGGCUCCUCUUCAUCUUGGUGUGGCCCGGCAUUUGGGCGAUCCCCUAACGCCUUCGGGCACCCCAUGCCCCAUCAGGCACCUUUUUCAUCCAACACACCAUUUGGCUCUACAACAGGCCAACAUUAUUCACAUGUUCCUACCUUUGGGGUGCAAUCUGAGCCUUCAUUUGGGCCCUUUGGCCGAGUGUCUAAAAAAGGCAGCAGGGUUUCUGCUUAUACCAGGACUCCUGGUGAUGAUCCUGAACGUAAUUACUAUGUAUCUAUUUCAGCAAUGCCAGUAUUCAAGAGCAAAUCUCAUGAGGAGCUUCGACAUGAAAAUUAUAAGAAAGGAGACAAAGGUGGUUUCAACUUACAGGAAAGCAGAGCUCCUUGGGCUUAUCAUUCCUCGCAGCCCCAGCCCCAGCCCCCAGUGAAUGCCUUAACAAAUCCUGUCAAGCCAUCAUUGUUUUCAUACUCUUCUGAGCCAUCCUCAGCACCUGUGGGACUGCAAUCCUCAGCACAUGGUACCACCAACCCAUUUUGGCUGCGCCCUCCAGCACCCCAGUCACCAUUAUUCUCAUACCCUCCCGAGCCAAUCCACAGGCCAUCAUGGUUUUCAAGCUCUUUUGCACCAUCUACUACAUGUUGGGAAAACGUAUCCAAUAACACAGCGGCAUAUACAGCUCCUGCAGAUACAUCUUCUGCUCAAGGCCAUAUGUUUAGCCAAAAUUUGUUCCCUCCAAAAUCUACUCAAUCUGGAGGAAGUUCACUCAGCUCUUCGGUCGCCCAUUCAGCACCAGCUCCAUCGCCAAACGGUCACUCCACUACUAUAAAUAUUGAUCAAGCUGAGAAAACUGUGGAGUUGGUACUACCAGUUGACAUUACUACUGUAAGGAUUAGAUUUUCUCCAAAGAAUGAUGAUACUGGCAGUCGUGCUACAGAGGUUCAUCAUAAUGUUAAAGCUUCAGCAACACCAGUGUCUUUCUGUAUCUAUCCUGGAGAGAACCAAGAGCUAACUAUCCAAUCAGUGGAGCAGCAUGACGGGAAACCAUCUAGUUCAACAGGAUCCGGUGGGGAACAGAAAGGGUAUAUCAACGGUGCUGUCCUGGCUAGGAGUAAUCCAUUUGAUCCUGUGAUAACUCCAUUUGGUGGUGCCCCUGUGAGUGAGAGUGUGCUACCUCGGCUCUAUAAGGCAGACUAUUACACCUUGCCGUCGAUCGCAGAGCUUGCUGCACGAGAAAGCAAUGAGCCAGGUUGUUGCUCACAUGUGAAGGACUUCACGGUCGGCAGGCAUGGCUACGGCAGCAUCAAGUUUGAUGGAGAAACCGAUGUGAGGAAGCUUGACAUCGCUUCCAUAGUGGAGUUCAAGGACCGCGAGAUCCUGGUCUACACAGAUGAGAGCAAGAGACCUCCUGUGGGGCAGGAGCUCAACAAGCCUGCAGAGAUCACACUCCUGAAUGUGAAGUGCGUCGAUAAGAAGACCGGGUUGCAGUUGACGGAGGGGGCAGAAGUCGACAGGUAUAAGGAGAUUCUGGCGCAAUGGACCGAGAAGAAUGGCGCUGAAUUCGUGGCGUUUGAUGCCGUGAAGGGGGAGUGGAAGUUCAGGAUCAAGCACUUUUAGUCAGUAGCUAGGUUCUUGGCAAUAUUAAGAUUCCAGUCUCAAGAUAGGAGAGUACCAAUACCAUGGCUCUAUGGCCAUGUAAAAAAUACUCUGUUCCUGCAUCUUCUAGUGAGUCUCUUUGUUAGUCGACAGGCAGGCCUGUCAGAAACAAUUUUAGAUCUGUGGCUGGAGCAUAUUUGAUUGUUUGGCGUUGAUUGAUAUCCCCAAGUUUGUGGAAAAAACACAUAUAUGAGCACACAUCUUUAUUUCCUUGAGGAAAUCUUGAGACAAGCUAAAACUACUCAGAGAAGAGAAGACGCAUCGCCAGCCAGCCUCACCUCUCUGGCACUGGCCUAGCCGUAGCCGCCGCCGCUGCCGUGGAAGAUGCGCACGGAUGCACCCUGCCGGCGGUGGUCCACGAAUCACAGUUUUUCUUGUUGAUCUUGUCUUCUUCACCGAUGUUCUUGUUCUUCACGGCCGUCUUGUUGGCGGCUUCUUGUUGGUUGAUCCUCUGCCUGACCUUCUCCUGCCGCACAUGUAUCUGCGCAUAGCUGAACCCCAUGGAAGCCAUGUUUGACCAGGCGCAGCUGAAAGAUGCAGGCUAGCUACCUUCCUCUCUAAGCAAGAUAAUAAUCAGAUCGUGUGUAGAUGCUUGUGUGUGCAUACAUAUGGAUACAGCCGGGUGUAUUUAUAUGCUCGGGCUGCAAUUAUUGGGGGCGGGGCACCGAGUUUCUUGAUGAU